GCCCGGGUGGCGAAACUGGUAGACGCAGGGGACUUAAAAUCCCCAGGCCGCAAGGCCGUGCCGGUUCGACUCCGGCCCUGGGCACCA
rnacentral:tRNA from 1 species